rnacentral:antisense_RNA from 1 species
UUAUAAAUUUUUUUUUCUUUAUUCUAAAAAACAGAAAAAACAAAACUGGAUACAUGUGCAGAACAUGCAGACCAAGUGUGUUGGGGACUUGAGAUAUGUACAUGAGUGUUUGUGAUGUUUCCUGGUGAAAGCACAGGUGAGACGUGGUCUUGUAACACAGUGGUUAAGAAUGUGACUUUGGAGCCAGCCUGCUAGGGGCUGAAUUCUGACUCAGCCAUUUAUUAACUGUGUGACCUUAGGCUGGCGUGCAAUGGCGUGAUCUCGGCUCACCACAACCUCUGCUUCCCGGGUUCAAGCGAUUCUCCUGCCUCAGCCUCCCGAGUACCUGGGACUACAGGCACUCGCCACCAUG